AUUGAACGCUGGCGGCAUGCCUUACACAUGCAAGUCGAACGGUAACGCGGGGCAACCUGGCGACGAGUGGCGAACGGGUGAGUAAUGUAUCGGAACGUGCCCAGUAGUGGGGGAUAGCCCGGCGAAAGCCGGAUUAAUACCGCAUACGACCUACGGGUGAAAGCGGGGGAUCGCAAGACCUCGCGCUAUUGGAGCGGCCGAUAUCAGAUUAGGUAGUUGGUGGGGUAAAGGCCCACCAAGCCUACGAUCUGUAGCUGGUCUGAGAGGACGACCAGCCACACUGGGACUGAGACACGGCCCAGACUCCUACGGGAGGCAGCAGUGGGGAAUUUUGGACAAUGGGCGCAAGCCUGAUCCAGCCAUGCCGCGUGCGGGAAGAAGGCCUUCGGGUUGUAAACCGCUUUUGUCAGGGAAGAAACGCUCUGGGCUAAUACCCCGGGGUAAUGACGGUACCUGAAGAAUAAGCACCGGCUAACUACGUGCCAGCAGCCGCGGUAAUACGUAGGGUGCAAGCGUUAAUCGGAAUUACUGGGCGUAAAGCGUGCGCAGGCGGUCUUGCAAGACAGAUGUGAAAUCCCCGGGCUCAACCUGGGAACUGCAUUUGUGACUGCAAGGCUGGAGUGCGGCAGAGGGGGAUGGAAUUCCGCGUGUAGCAGUGAAAUGCGUAGAUAUGCGGAGGAACACCGAUGGCGAAGGCAAUCCCCUGGGCCUGCACUGACGCUCAUGCACGAAAGCGUGGGAGCAAACAG
rnacentral:rRNA from 1 species